UUUUUUAAAUAAAAUUCCUUCUAAUUGACUAUGCUGACUUUAGUAACGGAAAUUUAAUAGAUUCAGCUAUCCUUGGUGAUAAGAUUCGAAAAUAUCGGUCAAUUCA
rnacentral:rRNA from 1 species